CAUUGAUGAUCGUUCUUCUCUCCCUUUGGGGGAGUAAGAGGGAGAGGACGCAGUCUGAGUGGU
rnacentral:precursor_RNA from 1 species